GCACUACCGACGAGUCCUGAACAGGACGAAACAGCUGUCCAGUGA
rnacentral:hammerhead_ribozyme from 1 species